CAGUGAACACGGUCUCCGGCCCCGGCAUUGGCUCGCGGAACCUUGGACGCGAGUCCUCGGGCUCACCCGGGAGCACCGGAAAGGACUUGUGCGGAGGACUUAGGAGGAGGAAGGGAAGGGAGGACCGAGGAACCAUGGCUUCUGUGGGUGCUCUUUGCAGUGGUCCGGGAAAGAGAAAGUUUACCUGCUUCCUGACGGCCGCCGUCCGCUGCCCAAACCCAGGAACCCGAGCGGUGCUGUGGAGAAGUUGUUCACAAUAUAAGCAGGUAACCAGCAAUGAGGACCUGCCUGUUCCAAUAGAAAAUCCUUAUAAGGAGCCUCUUAAAAAGUGCGUCUUGUGUGGAAAACGUGUAGAUUAUAAGAAUGUACAGCUUUUGUCCCAGUUUAUUUCUCCAUUUACUGGAUGCAUUCAUGGAAGGCACAUAACAGGUCUUUGUGGGAAGAAACAAAGAGAAAUCACAAAAGCUAUUAAGAGAGCACAAAUAAUGGGAAACCAGCUGUGUGAGGACCUUCGGGCCAUGCAGGCUGCCUAGACUCCAUUGUCUGCCACACGCCUCUCAACCCUGGCUUUUCCUGGAAGGGCAGUGCACUCACCUUCAGUGUAGCCUUCCAGGCUCUAAGGACAGGGCUCUUUGAGCUGAGCCAGCACAUGAAAUUGAAGCUACAAUUCACUGCUAGUGUGCCCCAUGCUCCACCCGAGGCCCAGCCCCUCUCUGGAAAGAGCAGUCCCAACAGCCCAGCUGUCCGGGACUUGGUGGAGAGGCACCAGGCUAGCCUGGGCUGCUCUCAGUCCUUCUGCCACCAACAGCCUUCCUGCAGCCACCUCAUGAGGUAUGGAACCAAGGGA